UACAGAGGCCUCGAGCGUUAGGCGGAAUCACUGGGCUUAAAGCGUGUGUAGGCGGAGUGCUAAGUACCUUGUGAAAUCCCACGGCUUAACCGUGGAAUUGCUUGGUAUACUGGCAUUCUUGAGCCAUCUAGGGGCGAGCGGAACAGACGGUGGAGCGGUGAAAUGCGUAGAUAUCGUCUGGAACGCCAACGGUGAAAACAGCUCGCUGGGGAUGUGCUGACGCUGAGACACGAAAGCCAGGGGAGCAAACGGG
rnacentral:rRNA from 1 species